rnacentral:rRNA from 1 species
GACGUAGGGCGCGAGCGUUGUCCGGAUUUAUUGGGCGUAAAGAGCUCGUAGGCGGCUUGUUGCGUCAGCUGUGAAAACCCGCAGCUCAACUGUGGGCUUGCAGCUGAUACGGGCAGGCUUGAGUUCGGUAGGGGAGACUGGAAUUCCUGGUGUAGCGGUGAAAUGCGCAGAUAUCAGGAAGAACACCGAUGGCGAAGGCAGCUCUCUGGGACGGUACUGACGCUGAGACGCGAAAGCGUGGGGAGCGAACAGG